AUUGAACGCUGGCGGCAGGCUUAACACAUGCAAGUCGAGCGGGGGAGGUUGCUUCGGUAACUGACCUAGCGGCGGACGGGUGAGUAAUGCUUAGGAAUCUGCCUAUUAGUGGGGGACAACAUUCCGAAAGGAAUGCUAAUACCGCAUACGCCCUACGGGGGAAAGCAGGGGAUCUUCGGACCUUGCGCUAAUAGAUGAGCCUAGGUCGGAUUAGCUAGUUGGUGGGGUAAAGGCCUACCAAGGCGACGAUCUGUAGCGGGUCUGAGAGGAUGAUCCGCCACACUGGGACUGAGACACGGCCCAGACUCCUACGGGAGGCAGCAGUGGGGAAUAUUGGACAAUGGGCGGAAGCCUGAUCCAGCCAUGCCGCGUGUGUGAAGAAGGCCUUUUGGUUGUAAAGCACUUUAAGCGAGGAGGAGGCUCUUAAGGUUAAUACCCUUGAUGAGUGGACGUUACUCGCAGAAUAAGCACCGGCUAACUCUGUGCCAGCAGCCGCCGUAAGAC
rnacentral:rRNA from 1 species